AAAGGAAUUGACGGGGACCCGCACAAGCGGUGGAUGAUGUGGAUUAAUUCGAUGCAACGCGAACAACCUUACCUACCCUUGACAUGUGCCGGAGCCUGCUGAGAGGCGGGUGUGCCCGAAAGGGAACGGCAACACAGGUGCUGCAUGGCUGUCGUCAGCUCGUGUCGUGAGAUGUUGGGUUAAGUCCCGCAACGAGCGCAACCCUUGUCCCUAGUUGCUACGCAAGGGCACUCUAGGGAGACUGCCGGUGACAAACCGGAGGAAGGUGGGGAUGACGUCAAGUCCUCAUGGCCCUUAUGGGUAGGGCUUCACACGUCAUACAAUGGACGGUACAGAGGGUUGCCAAGCCGCGAGGUGGAGCCAAUCCCUAGAAAGCCGUUCGUAGUCCGGAUUGCAGUCUGCAACUCGACUGCAUGAAGUCGGAAUCGCUAGUAAUCGCGGAUCAGCAUGUCGCGGUGAAUACGUUCCCGGGUCUUGUACACACCGCCCGU
rnacentral:rRNA from 1 species